UUCCCCAUUUUUCCCGCUGUUUUUCCGGCAGCACCACGGUGGAUCCCAAGGAAAAGCUGGAAUUCCUGGGCGGCGCCUGCCGGGCUCUGGCGGCUCCGGGCUCGCGGCUCCCGAUGGACGAACUCCUGCCCCUGCUGCUCUUCGUGGUGGCCAGAGCCAGGAUCCAACACCUGGGAGCCGAAAUCCACCUGAUCCGGGAUUUCAUGGAUCCAUCCCAGCAGGGCGGAAUGUCAGAUUUCCUGCUCACGGCGCUCGAGUCGUGCUACGAACACAUCCAAAGGAUCCGGAUUCAUCCCAAAGAAAAUUCCCACAGUUCCUGAUCCCUUGGGAAAAAUCUUCUUCAUCCCGAAUUUUCCAGCUGGAAAAAUCGGGAAUUUCAUCCCUGGCUGCUUUUAAGGGAAGGAAUUCCUCCCCAGCUGAGGUUUUCCCAUCCCAAAAAUCACUGGAAAAGCUGGAAUUCCA